GGAGGGGGUAGGGGGUUCGACUUCCUCCAGUGCCUCAAAACCCUAUAAGCGAGGUCCCAGCCAGCUCCCGAAGCGACCCAUUCCUAUUGACCGCCGCCCACUGAUUGCACCCGAGGGGGAUAAGAACUGGAUACUUGUGGAGGAUGGAGGCGAGGCUCGCAAUGUCAAUGGGAUCCUGGGACUUUUGUGCAGGGAACACUUUCCUGGCCUAGUCUACAAGUCAGAGGAGGAUGUGGACGGAGAGAUACCCUCGUUCGACCAGUACGCUCUCUUCCCCGCCAGUGCUCCAUAUAGAAACUUGGCGGAUCAGGUGAUUUCAGAGUUGUGGGACUACUUCAGAUGCCAGCCAGGACAGGAGGAAAGGGCGUAUCAGGUGGCUUACGCUUCCUGUAAAAGGCGUGUCUCGGACUUGUAUUACGAGUCCCGCUUGCAGGCGCACAUUGAUUAUAAUGCCACCUACCGUCAUAGAAGAAUCA